rnacentral:rRNA from 1 species
GGCUAUUGCUAUCGGGAUCCGAUUCAGUCAUGCUAGUCGCACGGGCUCAGACCCGUGGCGAAUAGCUCCGUAACACGUGGUCAAACUACCCUCUGGACCGGGACACCCUCGGGAAACUGAGGCUAAUCCCAGAUACUGCUUUCAUGUUGGAAUACAGAAAGCCGGAAACGGUCCGCCGCCGGAGGACGUGACUGCGGCCGAUUAGGUAGACGGUGGGGUAACGGCCCACCGUGCCGAUAAUCGGUACGGGUUGUGAGAGCAAGAACCCGGAGACGGACUCUGAGACAAGAGUCCGGGCCCUACGGGGCGCAGCAGACGCGAAACCUUUACACUGCACGACAGUGCGAUAAGGGGAUCCCGAGUGCGAGGGCAUACAGUCCUCGCUUUUCGUGACCGUAAGGUGGUCUCAGAAUAAGGGCUGGGCAAGACCGGUGCCAGCCGCCGCGGUAAUACCGGCAGCCCGAGUGAUAGCCACUCUUAUUGGGCCUAAAGCGUCCGUAGCUGGCCGAACGGGUCCGUCGGGAAAUCCACCCGCUCAACGGGUGGGCGUCCGGCGGAAACCAGUCGGCUUGGGACCGGAGGACCUGCGGGGUACGUCUGGGGUAGGAGUGAAAUCCUGUAAUCCCAGACGGACCACCGGUGGCGAAAGCGCCGCAGGAGGACGGAUCCGACAGUGGGGGACGAAAGCUUGGGUCUCGAACCGGAUUAGAUACCCGGGUAGUCCAAGCCGUAAACGAUGCUCGCUAGGUGUGGCGCAGGCUACGAGCCUGCGCUGUGCCGUAGGGAAGCCGAGAAGCGAGCCGCCUGGGAAGUACGUCCGCAAGGAUGAAACUUAAAGGAAUUGGCGGGGGAGCACUACAACCGGAGGAGCCUGCGGUUU